rnacentral:misc_RNA from 1 species
UGUGGGAGCUGGCUUGCCUGCGAUGGCGGUGGGUCAGCCACUGUAGAUGUUGGAGGGUAGGCCGCCAUCGCAGGCAAGCCAGCUCCCACA